GGAUGAACGCUAGCGACAGGCUUAACACAUGCAAGUCGAGGGGCAGCGGGGGUGAUGGCUUGCCAUCACCUGCCGGCGACUGGCGCACGGGUGAGUAACACGUAUGCAACCUGCCCGCCACAGGGGGAUAAGCGGAAGAAAUUCCGUCUAAUACCGCGUGACGCGGCGCCGGGGCAUCCCGGUGCCGCCAAAGGGAUUACCGGUGGCGGAUGGGCAUGCGGCGCAUUAGCUAGUCGGCGGGGUAACGGCCCACCGAGGCGACGAUGCGUAGGGGUUCUGAGAGGAGGGUCCCCCACACUGGUACUGAGACACGGACCAGACUCCUACGGGAGGCAGCAGUGAGGAAUAUUGGUCAAUGGGCGUGAGCCUGAACCAGCCAAGUCGCGUGAGGGAUGACGGUCCUACGGAUUGUAAACCUCUUUUGCCGGGGAGCAAGCGUGCGUUCGUGAACGCGCGUCGAGAGUACCCGGAGAAAAAGCAUCGGCUAACUCCGUGCCAGCAGCCGCGGUAAUACGGAGGAUGCGAGCGUUAUCCGGAUUUAUUGGGUUUAAAGGGUGCGUAGGCGGGAUGCCAAGUCAGCGGUAAAAAUGCGGUGCUCAACGCCGUCGAGCCGUUGAAACUGGCGUUCUUGAGUGGGCGAGAAGUAUGCGGAAUGCGUGGUGUAGCGGUGAAAUGCAUAGAUAUCACGCAGAACUCCGAUUGCGAAGGCAGCAUACCGGCGCCCUACUGACGCUGAGGCACGAAAGCGUGGGUAUCGAACAGGAUUAGAUACCCUGGUAGUCCACGCAGUAAACGAUGAAUGCUAACUGUCCGGCUCGAAUGAGCGCUGGGCGGUACAGCGAAAGCGUUAAGCAUUCCACCUGGGGAGUACGCCGGCAACGGUGAAACUCAAAGGAAUUGACGGGGGCCCGCACAAGCGGAGGAACAUGUGGUUUAAUUCGAUGAUACGCGAGGAACCUUACCCGGGCUCAAACGCAGGAUGACGGGUCCCGAAAGGGGUCUUUCUUCGGACAUUCUGCGAGGUGCUGCAUGGUUGUCGUCAGCUCGUGCCGUGAGGUGUCGGCUUAAGUGCCAUAACGAGCGCAACCCCUGUCCACAGUUGCCAGCAGGUAAAGCUGGGGACUCUGUGGAGACUGCCGGCGCAAGCUGCGAGGAAGGCGGGGAUGACGUCAAAUCAGCACGGCCCUUACGUCCGGGGCGACACACGUGUUACAAUGGCAGGUACAGCGGGAUGCCACGGGGCGACCCGGCGCUGAACCCGAAAACCUGUCUCAGUUCGGAUUGGAGUCUGCAACCCGACUCCAUGAAGCUGGAUUCGCUAGUAAUCGCGCAUCAGCCACGGCGCGGUGAAUACGUUCCCGGGCCUUGUACACACCGCCCGUCAAGCCAUGGAAGCCGGGGGUACCUGAAGUGCGUGACC
rnacentral:rRNA from 1 species